rnacentral:rRNA from 1 species
ACGAACGCUGGCGGCGCGCCUAACACAUGCAAGUCGAACGAGAGAUGAGGAGCUUGCUCUUCAAAUCGAGUGGCGAACGGGUGAGUAACGCGUGAGGAACCUGCCUCAAAGAGGGGGACAACAGUUGGAAACGACUGCUAAUACCGCAUAAGCCCACGGCUCGGCAUCGAGCAGAGGGAAAAGGAGCGAUCCGCUUUGAGAUGGCCUCGCGUCCGAUUAGCUAGUUGGUGAGGUAACGGCCCACCAAGGCGACGAUCGGUAGCCGGACUGAGAGGUUGAACGGCCACAUUGGGACUGAGACACGGCCCAGACUCCUACGGGAGGCAGCAGUGGGGAAUAUUGCACAAUGGGGGAAACCCUGAUGCAGCGACGCCGCGUGGAGGAAGAAGGUCUUCGGAUUGUAAACUCCUGUUGUUGAGGAAGAUAAUGACGGUACUCAACAAGGAAGUGACGGCUAACUACGUGCCAGCAGCCGCGGUAAAACGUAGGUCACAAGCGUUGUCCGGAAUUACUGGGUGUAAAGGGAGCGCAGGCGGGAGAACAAGUUGGAAGUGAAAUCCAUGGGCUCAACCCAUGAACUGCUUUCAAAACUGUUUUUCUUGAGUAGUGCAGAGGUAGGCGGAAUUCCCGGUGUAGCGGUGGAAUGCGUAGAUAUCGGGAGGAACACCAGUGGCGAAGGCGGCCUACUGGGCACCAACUGACGCUGAGGCUCGAAAGUGUGGGUAGCAAACAGGAUUAGAUACCCUGGUAGUCCACACCGUAAACGAUGAUUACUAGGUGUUGGAGGAUUGACCCCUUCAGUGCCGCAGUUAACACAAUAAGUAAUCCACCUGGGGAGUACGACCGCAAGGUUGAAACUCAAAGGAAUUGACGGGGGCCCGCACAAGCAGUGGAGUAUGUGGUUUAAUUCGACGCAACGCGAAGAACCUUACCAAGUCUUGACAUCCCUCUGACCGGAACUUAAUCGUUCCUUUCCUUCGGGACAGAGGAGACAGGUGGUGCAUGGUUGUCGUCAGCUCGUGUCGUGAGAUGUUGGGUUAAGUCCCGCAACGAGCGCAACCCUUAUGGUCAGUUACUACGCAAGAGGACUCUGGCCAGACUGCCGUUGACAAAACGGAGGAAGGUGGGGAUGACGUCAAAUCAUCAUGCCCUUUAUGACUUGGGCUACACACGUACUACAAUGGCGUUAAACAAAGAGAAGCAAGACCGCGAGGUGGAGCAAAACUCAGAAACAACGUCCCAGUUCGGACUGCAGGCUGCAACUCGCCUGCACGAAGUCGGAAUUGCUAGUAAUCGUGGAUCAGCAUGCCACGGUGAAUACGUUCCCGGGCCUUGUACACACCGCCCGUCACACCAUGAGAGCCGGGGGGACCCGAAGUCGGUAGUCUAACCGCAAGGAGGACGCCGCCGAAGGUAAAACUGGUGAUUGGGGUG